CAGCCCGACCUCGUUUCUCCUCCCCAAAAGGGACAGGCUACUCUUGCUCCUCUAUCGUCCAGCUUGCUAAGUCUUAAGAAAUGAAGAACCACAACUAACUGGCUGAAGUAUGAAAAUUGCUGAAGGGCAUUUUCUAUCACACUUUGGGCAGCUGCACAUGAAAUUGAUGGAAAAUUACCUUUCCAAGACUUUUGCAGUCUUCAUCAAAUCCUGCUGUCUGUGCUUGGAAAAGUGGAAUAAGAAGUCUUGGUACUUAACUUAUUAGCAUGUGGCCCUGCAUGUACUGAAUGACUGCUCGGUGACCGUCACCUUAGCCUUCUGGACCUUUGAGCCCAUUUGCAGCCAGUGAUAGUAGUUUACACCUCAGAUGCUCAGCCUGGAACUCAGCCUUGUGCCAACAUAUUCCUACGCUGCUGGAGAGACUGCCUGAUUUCAGAGUCAAUCCAAAAGGGCUCUAGCUAUGACUAGAUUAGACAGCUGGCAAGAAAAAAAAAAACCCAGAGAUGUUGAGAUGGCAAUAUAUAGCUUCACACAAAGAAACAGCAAACAUUUAACAGGAGAGAGGAAGAAGAUACUAGCAAAGAUGCUCUUGGACUUUCCUUUUCAACAGAGAUGCUACUGGCCAAGCUUCAAGCCCAUAGCUAUGGAGAAAGGUCUGCAGAGCUCACGAGACCUCAGAAGGAUUCCAGACCACCCCACAGUAGUGAAUUAUUAGCCCAACAACAGCUCCAAGGUGGUGAGAAAACAGAGGCAGAAGUGCAAACUCCUGCUUCAUUUCUUUACUGUAUUCAUUUUGCUAAAAAUCAUGAUAUAAGAGACUCCAUCACUUCCAAAUGAGAAUAAAGUACGAACUAUCCUGCAUGGUUUAAGGACACAGUUUAAAAUCCCUUUGUACACCUCCAGUUCUGAGUGCUAAGUUUAACACAUGGUUUUUUGAAGAAUUGGAUACACAUCUUCUUUAGAUUACGGCUCUUCCCAGCUGUUAAAUUAAGUAAAUGCAAGCAGAAGAAUUUUUUAAUGAUCAGUGGCUUUUAAAGUUUUACCUGAGCAUUCUCACUGUUUAAUGCUUAAGAGAGAUAGCUUCGUUAUAGUGCUGGUUCUCGCUCAGUUCUUUUAUAUGAGAACACUGACUAUGCUUAUGAAAGAUCUUUAGCUGUCUUUAUUUGCUGUGUUAAAUCACUGAAGGAAAAGUUAAAUAGAU
rnacentral:lncRNA from 7 species